rfam:Ictidomys tridecemlineatus contig035847, whole genome shotgun sequence.
GGGGUUGUGGCUCAGUGGUAGAGUGCUUGCCUCGCACAUUAGAGGCCCUGGGUUCGAUACUCAGCACCA